AAAUUAAUCUCCAAUAACACUUUUAUUUUCACAUUUUCAUUCCACAUUGAUACAAUUUAAAAAAAACAGUCUAGUUGACAUCACUGCCGACAACACAAAAAAGAGGAAAAAGAAGCCUUCGUUUUUCGCGUUUCAAAGUUCCGUACCGGUAAAUACCAGCACCAAAGUUUUCUCCGAUUGUGGUUUGCCGGACGGCAAUCGGCAGCCGCAAAUCGGAUGUUGAGGACAUAUAUACAGGGACUUUUUCUAGCGAUGAUCGCAACAGCAACAUUUUCGCUGAAGGAGCCAUGCAUCACGUUGAAAGAAGGAGGAGUGAGGAUUCUGGAUCCAGCAGCUGCGACAAUGUUCCGCCCGUGUGUCGUGUGUAACCUGGUUUAGGAGCUGAUGAAAACAAAGUCAGAAGGGUAUGGAGUGGUCCUAAACAAGUACUUGUCGUUCCAGGCGGAUCCCCCGGAAUGGUUAGGUUUUUUCCAGGGUCCUGGUCCGUCGGCCUAGCUGUUUACCAGGCAUUCCGUAGCGGCUGUACACCGUUGUGUAAGUACCUAAUAAAAUCUCAAUGAAGAUGA